AGAUGUUGCCUCUGCAGCCAAGCUCGCGGGCAGGCAGCCUGCCAUGGGGUCCUGCUCAGGAGACCCCCGCCUCUGCUGGGCCACCUGGCUCCUGCGAUGCUCUAGCCUCCUCCUUGGUGCCUGCAGCACUGUGGCCAACAGCUCCGGAGCCCACGUGUAUCUGAACAGGACCCAGGGAGGCUGUGUGUUGUUUCACGCGGCCCGGGAGGCAGGAGCUGAGCUCAAGGAGAUCUCGUGGGGCUUCGGCCCUGAGUCCGACUACAGAGUCAUCCUGCGGGUCCAUUCUGGCGCGGACUCUCCCACCUGGGUCAGCCUCUGGGACAAGUAUGAGCAGAGGGUCCACGUGCCCAACAUGACGUCCCUGAGGAUCGACAACCUGACGCGCGAGGACAGCGGGCAGUACCGGGCUCGAGGCAGCCUCACCGGAGGAAGAGAAUUUAACCUGAAUUUCCACCUCACUGUCUGCGCACCCGUGCCCCUUCCCCAGAUCCGGGUCACUUCCUCAUCCAUCACACCAGGCCGGUGCCACAUCACCCUUGAGUGCAGGGCCCAGGGGACCAUGGAGGACCUGAAGGUGAACUGGGAGAGCAAAGGCCUCCCCAAGGAGCUGGAGCAGAGAGGGACCCCGGGACCAGCCCCCAACUCGUGGACCCUGGAUCUGAGCCUGCCCCUGAGCCAGCCCAACCCCAGGCUCACCUGUGUGCUGAGCAACCCGCUUGACCAGAAAACUGCCACCACAGACCUUGGGGCCAUCUGUGUCCCUGCAAGUUCACAUGCACAGACCAAGGCUCGGACCCUGCCAGGCAUCCUGGGGGCCACCGUCACUGUGCUGCUCAUCCUUGGAGCUGGACUGUGGCUUUGGAAGACGCGUGGGAAGAAGAAGAAGAUGGAGACUGGGAGAGGCAGGUGGCUCUUGUCCUUGCAGCCCAGCUACCGCCCUUCUCCCAUUGUACCCUAUAUGCUCUCUUUCUCCUGCAUUUUGCUGCUCAGGGAAUGUCCCAGAGGAGGGGAGGGUGGGUGUGGCCAUGACCUUGGGGUUCAUAGCAGUGCGGGAGGGUAGAGGUUUCCAGGGUCCAGCUUCAAGCUCCGCUCCGUGUGUGACGCAGGUGCAGGCCUGCAGGAGGAGCACAGGGACGAGGAUGGUGGCAUGUACUAUGCAGAGCUGAGCCCACAGGUGCCUCAGGAGGGCAGGGACAAGGUGUUCGAGGAGCUCUCUAUCAUGCAGCUGUUCCAGGAACCAUCUGUGUUGCACUCCCAGAGUAUCAGUGAGCAACAUCUGCAAGACAAGGAGCAUCUCAUGUCUGUCUACAGUGUGGUCCAUAAGCCAGGUCAGGCCAUGAAGAUGAGUUAAGGAUGCAGGAGAAUCCAGGCCCCCCCAAGACACCUGCUCUCUGAGCUGAUCCCUGCAGACGCUGCCUUUGCCAGCUUGGUCCAGCUCCAACCACCCCUGGUCUGUGUGGCUGUGACCCUGGAGCCCUCAAAGCCCUGGGCACACAUGGUCCUGCCACUUCCUCUGACCUUCUCUGAGCUGCCUUCAGAGUGUCAAGUGCAUUCCUAUUAUGCAAAUAGAAUGAUUAUUCCCAGGAAACUGCAACACUGAUGUUAACCAACUUGUCCAGGUCACAUAACUGAUAAGAAUUGAGACUGAAAUCUUGGAGCUGGAAUCUAAGCCCUUGCUCGUGACCACUAUAUACUGGGUAAAUGAAGUAUAGAUGGAAUUAUAUUUACGCAGUAAGGAUGAAAUUACAUCUUUAUGUAUUUAAAUGGAAAGUUGUCCAUGAAAUAUUAAGUGGGUUAUGGAACAACAUGUAUGGCAUUAUCUUGUGUUAUAAAUGUAUAUAAACAUAUGUUUAUGUGAGCAUAAAGGAAGUCUAAAAGCUGAUAGGUCAAGAAGGUAACAGUGGUUAUCUUCUGAAAUCUCUUUCUGUGUCAUCAUAUUAUCUAUAACACUAACCAAAAAAGAUGAUCGAUUUCAAUGUUUCAGCAGGGCAGUGAUAGGCUCAGAGCUGUGCUUCAGACAGAUAAAGCCACCUGUGUGCCAACAGGAAGCCUGUCAUGGAAACCAGUGAAAGUAUUUAUGCUCAUUUUCACUUCCUGUUGUGUUGAAUUGGUGGCUUCAGGAUCUUUACUGAAAUAACCCCAGCCACACCUGGAUUUGUCUAGAUAGUAAAGACAGAGUAAAGUUUAGGUCUAAGUGAUCUAAACGGACACUCCCCAUGGAUUGCUCAUGACCCUGGCUGUUUCUUGGAUUAACUGGGGAGCAUUUGAAAACAGAUGCUUGGACUCUAUCCCCAAAUGGAGCAUCAUCUAUAUUUAGAAUACAACCUAAUGGUUGAUACUGAUGCACCAUUCAGAUCAGGGUUGAGAACUAAAGGUUUAGGUCUGCAUGAAGUCUUCACAAAGUUCAAAAGGGAAUGUGCAUGGCAAGGAGAGGCCGAGGGUUUGUGUUCCAAGACGUUUCUCAGCGUGCGCUCAGUCCACAGCCCAGUAAUGUGGAGGGAAGGAAUGGGUGACUGACAGGGCCGCACGGGUUGGCAUUACUUGCUUGUGUUCACCACGGUUCACACUCUGAUGCGUAGACUAUGAGACAGAGUCCAGAGGCUCCAUUUCAUCCAUUGCUGAUUUGCCUUGGGGAAGCAAAAUCUUGCUGGCAAACGUCAAAAGGCACAGACAGACAAAACCAGAAUGUUUAGUAAUUUACAGUGAGACGUAUACUUGCUAACUGGGCUGGAUAUGCCUGUUAGCCUGACCAGGGCAUCCUCCUCCCGAAGACAAGCCAGGCAGGAAGUCAGGGUAUCGCCUGGGAAGCCCUGAGUCCAGGCGGGUGAGCAGCCGCUUGUGGGGUGGAUUCCGGAGGCCUCGGGGCUGAGCUCUGCAUCUCCACGGUCGCGUUUAUCUGCCCGGGCCCGGGGCUCUCCUGCCCGGGUGGCAGAGCCCUUCAUUUGUCUCUGUCGCUCUCCUCUCUUUAUGCUCCAUUUCUUGCUAACAGAACUUCUGACUGACAUAUUCUUUCUUUGCUCAUGUGCAUGUGUGAGAUUAGUCUUGCUCUGCUCUCUGAGCGGGAAUCUCUAUACCUCUUUUGGGAUCCAGAUAUGUGGUGUUUUAUUUAAUCCCCCCAAACCAAAGACAAAGAAAGAAAGAAACAAACAAACAAACAAAAACCCCACCCAAAACAUCCACUCUUAUUUCUCUCAUUUCCAGACUGUAGUAGUAAAGGCUGUGAGGGGAGAUGACGCCCCCUCAAUAUGCCACGUACCGCCAACUGACCGACUAAUUGCUUUUAUAAACAGACCCAAAGAGAAAAGCUGUGAACUGAUUAAUGGAUCCUGUAGCUCUCAGGGUUGGAAUCUUCACCAAUUUUAUCACUUAGUGCAGACAAAAUUCUAAGAAAAUAUAAUAUGUAAUUUCCGUCUACUGAUUUUAAAAAUCUUCAUUAAAUCGAGAAUUUCUAGAAAAGUAUGUAUUGUCAAAUUUGAUUUACAUGUGUAUAUAAACCUCAAAAAGUCAACACAGUAAAUAUUAUAAAAUUUAUAUAAGUAAUUUUCUCCUUUGAGGGCAUAAGGGCCAAAUUCUACUAUUGGUGAACUCCUCAAAUCUGAAAGAAGAGCUAAUUUUUGUGCUAACAAAUAUGUUUUUAAAACUUGACAGACAAUAGAAAGCUUCCAUUUAUGAUUCUAAACCCUUGACAAAGCAUGUAAAAGACAUGAAGUCCCAGUCCGGCCGUCCAGGCUGCCUGAGCGCCUCCCGUGUCCCUGCGUCCGCUGGGGCCUCUCGUGACGGAGCUCCCAGCUUCCCCAGGAGCCCGAGGAGCAGAGGCCUUGGGCCAGCACCGCCCAC